rnacentral:lncRNA from 1 species
GGGGAUGCUGAUGUUGAAAGAACUAAGCAAAGUAGAGUUAUUAAUGAGGCUGCAAAGGCAAGUAAGUUCAGUAGCGACGGCUUGUCUGAGAGGGUCACAGCAAUCGCCUUGCAGUUGGAGAGUGGCGUUGUUGAAGUAAGGAGCACAAGACAUCAAGCUCUGCAAACAAGUCGGAUCCGCAACCGUAACUGUCGCUAUCUUCGUCCCCAAUAUCACAAGGACCACCAUCAUCAACAUCUUUUGAGCCAUUGCGUUUUUCUCAAUUACUCUAAUUUCACUCUGCGUGUAGAUGUUUUUCUUCUUCUGCCCAGCCCUCUCCUGGCCGCUCUGCCAUUGCUUCUUAUAUACUAAUUUCUUUGGAGUCACUUGGUCAGAGUUUAAAACAAGCAUUUGGUUCAAUACGGACAUAUUAUUUUUUGGGUAAACUACAAAAAUAGUCACUUUUGUUUGCCUCAAAUUACAUAUUAGUCACUUAUGUUUAAAAUGUUACGUUUUAGUCACUUACAUUGUUGUUUUGUUACAAAGUGGUCACUCUACCAUUUAGCUCUAUUACCUCCCUAACGGUGAUCCUACGUGGUAGUCCAAAUGGGUUUUAAAUGCCAACGUGGAUGUCCUACAUGGUAGUCCAAAUUAAAUUUAUUUAAUUAAAAACCUAUUUUUAUCCUAGCAACUAGACAUCCAAGUUGGCAUUUAAAAUCUAUUUAGACUGCCACAUAGGACUGCCGUUAGAGAGGUAACGAAUUUUGACGGUGGAGUGACCACUUCGUAACAAAACAAUAACAUAAGUGACUAAAACAUAACAUUUCAAACAUAAGUGACUAAUAUGUAAUUUAAGGCAAACAAAAAUGAUCAUUUUUAUAGUUUUUUUUAGAAUAGAAUAGAAAACAGUGCAAAGAACAAAUAUGAGCUGAAAAGGAGCGUUGGAGUCUGGAGAAGGUGAUAAUGAUGAAUAGAUUUGACGGAGGAUGGAAGCUUCUUAAAUCAUCAGAAAAUGGUGGGUGUUCCUAUCCUCGCUUGGGAAAGUGUGAUCAUUAUUAGUUUAAUUUUACAAGUUAAACCAUUAUUCUUCUUGUUAAAUUAUUUUAUAGUGCUGUAAAUAAGAAAUAAAUUAAAGACAAAUUAAAAAAAAACUUCAACUAUUUAAAAAUAAUUAAAAUAAAAGUAUGGCAUGUUAUUUCGUUUUAAAUUUAAUAAUAUAUUUAUUUUUCAGAAAAAGAAUAAACUAGAAAAAUCUAACUUUCUAGAAAAUAAAAAAUAUAUAUUUUAAAAUAAAUAUUAAUAAUGAUAGAAAUAAAUUUAAAUUUCUAUCAUUCUGAUCUUCAUCUUCUUGGUUCAAUUUAUCAUUGUGGUCACCAUCUUAGAUCAACACUUGACUUUUGAUGGAAUUAAUUUCUUUAUAGUUGAAAAUUUCCUAAACAAUUAUAAAAUUAUAAUAAAAACAGUAAUAGUACUUAGAAAAAAAAUAUAAAUUAUAAUUAAAAUUAAUAAUAACAUACAAUUAUGAUGCGGUCGUUGAAAGCACUAAAAAUAUUCUAUUCCUAAUAAAUAAUGAAAAAGAAUAGAAAAAGGGAAAUAAGGUUGAAUCCUCAGGGACUGGAUUUGCACAAUAUCUUAUUCCGUGAAAUCUCAGGCAGAAUUUUGCCCAAUAAAACUUAGGUUCCUAGAAAAAGAUAAAAAAAUAAUAGAAUUAUAGGUUUGAAUCUGGAAACGAAAAAUAAAAUAAAAACAGAAUAUUGAAUAUUGAAUUGAAAAUUCGAAAAAUUAAAAAUAGAGUUGAGAGAAAGGAAAUUCUUAUGGGAGAUUCCAGCCUCCAGUUGUCUCGUUUCACAUUGGGUUCAAUCCUCGGCUUUUAAAUGAUCCUUCCCAAACCGAAUAAGCCAGUUAUAAUGGAAGAGGACGCCUACAACCACCAGAUCCAAGGAUUUAGACUUACGAUUUAGUGGAACCUCACUCUAGCCAACAAGUCUUAUGCUAGAUCAACGCUUCUCAAUGGUGAAUCCCACCCCAUUUUGUCUCUUAGGCUCGCCAACCUCUAACGCAAUAAGCUAACGAACCGAUUGAGCAACUUUCCCAAAACAUACAAAGCGACCGCCUUUGCAUCCGUUGAAAAGCUUACUUCUUAAGGGACAUGGACGGAAGCGUCAGCCCCGUAGUGCAGAGAAACGAUGAAUACUCAGCGAGGAGGCUAAGUACGGACUCUAAGCCUCAAUAACCCUUUUUGGGUAAUAUCGACAAUUUUUGGCUAGAUGGGUUUAGUGGCUCAUAAUUGUGGUGGAAAUAUGAGAAGAACAAAAGCCUAAACUUUUGGGGAGAGAGUGUUUACAAAAAAAAAAAAGAUGGAUCCCUUUUGAGUCACUUCACCCCCUAUUUAUAGUGUUAGGGGAGAUAGUCUAAUCCUACUUAAACUCCCAAAAGAUAAAUAAAUUUAAUUGAAGAUAAAUAAAGAUAUAUAAAAUAAAAUUCUAAAAUUAAAUAAUCAUUAAUAAUUAUCUUAAUAUUAAUUAUCCUAAUAUAAUUAAAAUAGAGUCUGAUAGAAUAAAAUCUCUUCUUUUUGCAUUUCAACUCUUGUGUCCUUCAUGCUUGCACUUUUGGCACCAAUUUUUCCUUGUGUCGCACAUUGGCCCAUUUUAUCUCUAAAUUCACGCUUUUGGCCCUUAAUUUUGCUUUUGUCUCAAAUUUAGUCCCUAUGAGAUAAAAGAUCAUAAAUAGCUCAAAUUAGCAGGAUCAUACUCAGAAUAAAUACAUAAUUAAUACAUAAAAAUACGUUAUUCUAGAGUAUGGCAUGUUAUUUCGUUUUAAAUUUAAUAAUAUGUUUAUUUUUUCAGAAAAAGAAUAAACUAGAAAAAUCUAACUUUCUAGAAAAUAAAAAAUAUAUAUUUUAAAAUAAAUACUAAUAAUGAUACAAAUAAAUUUAAAUUUCUAUCAUUGUGGUCUUCAUUUUCUUGGUUCAAUUUAAAUUGUGGUCACCAUCUUAGAUCAACACUUGACUUUUGAUGGAAUUAAUUUCUUCAUAGUUGAAAAUUUCCUAAACAAUUAUAAAAUUAUAAUAAAAACAGUAAUAGUACUUAGAAAAAAAAAUAUAAAUUAUAAUUACAAUUAAUAAUAACGUUAAAAUUUUCACACUAAACAAGGGAAUAAAUUUAAAAUAAAUCUAAUAUAAUAAACUAAAUAAGGAUGAUGAAAUAAUAUCACAAUUUAGUCUUCUUAUUCAUCCACACUUGUUUUUCCUUCCUCGCAACAGAUGUGCCAUAAGGAGUGGGCACUUCGUUAGGCAUUGCGCCUCCAACAUAGAUCAUGCAAUAUCUUGAAUUAAUGAGGUCUUAUAUGACCAGGAGUACCACAAUAAUGGUAAAUCACCUUACGGGAAUGAACAGUCUUCUUGGAUAGCUUGAAAAACAUUGGCUUAGCUCUUUCACUUGCUUCCUUCAAACCAAAUGCUUUUACGAAGACUAUAGGACUUUCCAUUACAGCCUUCCCUUUAGCAACAAAACCUAAUCCUCCUUUGAUUGGUUCUUUUUUCCUAGCUGCUAAGAUCUCAUUGAGUUUGCUGCUUCUCGUAUUAAACUUUUUAAGCAUAAGUUUUGUACCAACAAGUUCCUUCUUCACCUUCACAAAGUUGUCAAGUUCCUCAGCAAUGAGUGAUUCGUUUGUUUCCGCCUGUUUAACCAACUUUGCAUUUUCAUCCUUCAACUGAUUAUUUUCCUUAACCAAUUGAGCAUUGAAGUCACAUACUUGCCCUCAUUUUCCUAACAUCACUUUAUAUGUCUAAAUUAAUCCAAACAUGAAAAGAACUAAUCUAAAAAGUUUCCAAAUUUUGAGUAUAUACCAAUACCUAGACCAGGUACUGAUACCAUUAUUAACUUCAAAGUCCCAAAAAUCAAAUUAAAAUCAAUAGAUAUUGAUACUUUCUUAUAAGAAUUUGAUACCUUAUCUUGGUAUCGAUAUCAUAUUGGCAUUUUGUUUGUUGGACAAAAUAUUUACAAACUCACUAGUAUCUACACUUGAAAUUUGAGUGUCAAUACUUAUUCUACAAGUAUCGAUACUUAAAUUUGGUAUCAAUUCCAUUUCAACAUUCUACCAACUUAAAAUACUAUUCAUUUGGUAAAGUACUGAUACUUUAAUUAAAAGUAUCAGUACUUUCUAGAAAUCUUGCAAAAAUGACCCUUUUGAAAACCAAUUCAUACCAAAGCUUAACUUAAACUCAUUUAUGCCUAUAGCACACUUCAGUCCUGCAAACAACCAAAUCAAACAUACAAUUUUACCACAAUCAUUCAUUUUCUCAAACCACAAUUUCCAAAGUUAACAAUUGGCAUCCAAACAUUGCACGUAAUCAUGCACAUUUCUUACCAAAUAAAUCAUACAAUUAUCCCAUAUCAUCAUGUUUUCAUACCAAAUCAUACCCACAAAUAUCAUUUAGAUGCCAUUCAAGACAUCUCGUUAAGCUAUCAUCCAAUCAUCACAUAUUGAACAAUUUUACACCAUUCUCAUAGCAUUAACCCAACCAUUCCAUAUUCAAAAUUUUGUCAUCAUACUCGCUUAUAUACAUAUAACAUGUAAGCAUCCAAAAUCAAAUAUCACAUAAGGCUCAAGUUCAUGAACAUUCAAAAUAACACCUAUGCAAUACGAAUUCCAUAUACAUGCCACAUAACUAAAUCCGAAACGAUUAAAAGCCUACCGUUGAUGGAUAUAUGCAACAUCGACAUUAGAGGCCAAGUAAGAACCUUAACCCCUCUUAGAAAUGAUAAAUCAGUAUUUUAACUUUUUUUGUGAAAACUUAUAAAAUUAUAAUUUAAUGUUAUGAUAAAUAUUAAAUUUUAACCUCUUAAAAUAUCAUAAUUCAAUUUCAAUCUUUAAUAUAAAUCUUUAGGUUCACCCGUACUAGAUUGUGAAUCAAAUUUCACCAAUAAAAAUAAAAGUAAAAGUAAAUAAACAAGUGAACAACAAACACUAUAUAUAAAAAUAAUAUAAUAAUAUAUCAAGCUAUCAUAUUUAUGUAUGCCAAAAUUGAAACAAAAGUAAAAGAAAAAUGUAAUUUGAAUUUUGGACACCCAAAAUGAUGCUGACAAUGACCAACAACAAUAAUAAGACUGAAUGAAUAAAUAAUACAUGCUAACAACACUGACCAAACAAAUAUACAAAUAAACAUAUAAAGAGAGAAUUAGAUAAUAGAAAUCAAGAUAGUCUAAACUUGAAAUGCUCUCUUUAUUAUUUAUUAUUUAUUAUUUAUUAUUUAUUAUGAGAUGAAAUCACCCCAUCAACUUAUGUAGGAAACAUGUCACCAUAGUACAGAGCUAUAGAUGCUUUAAAAAAAACAACAAAGUGAUGAUUCUGGUCAAAGUUAUCUUGUUGACACCUCCACUUUCACCUCCUGCAAAUUUUAAUGGAAAAUGGGAAAGAAAUUUACGAUGAAUUAGCACUAGGAAAAGGAAAUUCAUGCUAAUACCAAUAUAUGAUCACCUGUUUUUCACAUAUUUAUCCCCUAAAUUAGAUAACCCGAUUCAAUGUAUUGGGUUGAUUUUAAGUCCUUUAAGUUUUAAAAGCUUUAAAUAAAUUUAAAUUUAAAUCAAUUUUCAUCUUAAAUUAUUGAUAUUCAAGAUUAAUCAAGUUGAAUCAAAUUCAAAUUCAAUCAAUUAAAUUAAGUUUUUAUCUCAUGCCAAAUAAAAAUUUAAAAAAUAAUGAAAUUGUUUAUUGAAAAAAAAAAGCUUUGUUACCUGGUGAUGAGUGGAGCAGCCUUGGGAGAAGUAGCUAUAGCAACAAAACAUAAUCCAACAUAUAAACAAUUAGUUUCUAAUCAAAAUUAUGAAAAAUUCAACCAUAUCUUACAAAUAAAAGUUAAAAAGUACGAAGAAUAUGAAUCAAGAAUUGAAUAAAACAAAAGAAAAAAAUAAUUAAUAAAGUCAUUUUUUUUAAUUUCACAAAAUUUUAUAUUUUAUCUUUAUACUAAAACAUUAAAAGUUAUAUUAUCUUAUUUAUGUUAUAUUGAUAUAAUUGUAUGGUUUGUCAAUAAUAAAAUAUGGUGAGAUAAAUAAUUGAACUAAUAUUUUAAAUGUUUAAAAAUAAAAAUUAAGGUUGAAAAACUAGGUAAAGGUAAUUCAUUUUUUUUUUCAUUCGAACUGAUCUGUUGUAAAUACAACAAGAACAACAUUUAAAAGUUUAAUUUUACAGUAUCUCAUAGUGUAAUAUUUUCUACAAUUGAAAAUCGACAUUUCACAUCAAAUUUAAUGCUUACCACCAAACUUUAAACAUGUCUCCACGAUUUAUACUUGCUAUCGCCAAUAUUGAGGCCAUUUCAUUUCCUUUCUUAUUUGUCAUAAAGUAUACAACACUACCUACCUUCUCAAUUUUCCUCUCAAUAUCCACAAAUAUUGAUUGUAGUGACCAUGAUCUCAUGGGAUUCAUGCUAAUGCCAAAUACCAAUAUUUGAAUGUUUUCAUAUUUUUAUUCUUUACUUCCACCUCUCAAGUUAAUAGAUUAGAUUGGUUUUGAGUUAAAUCAAUUAAUUAAAGUCGGAUAAAUUCCGUUUUAAAAAUUUUAAAUCACUUUAAAUUUGAAUUAUUUUGGGUUUAAUUCACUUUAAAUUUUACCCUCUAAUUAAACUCAUUACAAUUUUUUUUUUGUUAAAUAUAUACAUUUUUUUUUUGCGUCCAAAGAAAAAGAAUAAAAAAGUUGCUUCGAAAAAAAUUUAAAGAUUGCUUUGUUACCUGAUGGGGAAGGAGCAGGGGUGAGAGUAGCUGUAGCAAGAACACAUAAUCAAAUCAUGGAUAAUUAGUUUCUCAUUAAAAAAAAUAUGAAUGAUUCAACUAUAUCUUACUAUUUAAAAAUAAAAGAAAAGAUAUAUAUGACGAUCCAGCUUUAGCUCAAUUCGAUUGUUGUUAUUUGAAGAAUCAAGAGAAUGGGAAUAUAAACGCCUUAAGGAAGUAUUAUAUUCCUAAUUAAAAAUUUAGUGAUUCUAAAUAGGAGGAGGAUGGAUUUGCAAAUUUUGAUGAGAACAACCACUGAAUUAAGAUUUUUAAAUAUCGGUCCAAUUUCUUUGUUUGAAUCAAUAUAGUAGCUGGUUUUCGGUUUUUUUAUGAAAUAAAAGAAGGUAUCAACCCUUUUUUUUCAUCCAAACAGAAAAACAAAGAGGUGAUGGCUAGAAACACUGACCGGGGAUGCAGCCGUUCAUCUUAUCAGUGACACCGCAGCCACGAGUGAUCCUAAGAGCUGCAGGGAUGGGGAUGUUGAUGUUGAAAGAACUAAGCAAAGUAGAGUUAUUAAUGAGGCUGCAAAGGCAAGUAAGUUCAGUAGCGACGGCUUGUCUGAGAGGGUUACAGCAAUCGCCUUUCAGUUGGAGAGUGGCGUUGUUGAAGUAAGGAGCACAAGACAUCAAGCUCUGCAAACAAGUCGGAUCCGCAGCCGUAAAUGUCGCUAUCUUCGUCCCCAAUAUCACAAGGACCGCCAUCAUCAACAUCUUUUGAGCCAUUGCGUUUUUCUCAAUUACUCUAAUUUCAAUCUGCGUGUAGAUGUUUUUCUUCUUCUGCCCUGCCCUCUCCUGGCUGCACUGCCAUUGCUUCUUAUAUACUAAUUUUUAUGGAGUCAUUUGGUCAGAGUUUAAAACAAGCAUUUGGUUCAAUACGGACAUAUUAUUUUUUAGAAUAGAAUAGAAAACAGUGCAAAGAACAAAUAUGAGCUGAAAAGGAGCGUUGGAGUCUGGAGAAGG